rnacentral:rRNA from 1 species
CGCUGGCGGCGUGCCUACACAUGCAAGUCGAACGCCCUUCUUUCGGGAAGGGAGUGGCGGUCGGGUGAGUAACGCGUGGGUAGACCUACCCCGAAGUGAGGAAUACCACCGGGAAACCGGUGACAAUACCGCAUAGGUUUCGCAAGAAACAAAGCUUCGAAAGAGGCGCUUUGGGAUGGGCCCGCGUCCGAUUAGCUAGUUGGUGGGGUAAAAGCUCACCAAGGCGACGAUCGGUAGCUGGUCUGAGAGGACGAUCAGCCACACUGGGAUUGAGAACGGCCCAGACUCCUACGGGGGGCAGCAGUGAGGAAUUUUCGUCAAUGGGGGAAACCCUGAACGAGCAACGCCGCGUGCAGGAAGAAGGUUUUCGGAUCGUAAACUGCUUUUCUCUGGGACGAGUUCGGACGGUACCAGAGGAACAAGCCCCGGCUAACUACGUGCCAGCAGCCGCGGUAAUACGUAGGGGGCGAGCGUUGUCCGGAGUUACUGGGCGUAAAGGGCACGCAGGCGGUCUGGCAAGUUUGGAGUGACAGUCUUCGGCUUAACCGAGGAAGGCCUUUGAAAACUGC